UUGGAGGCAUCGGACAUAGGAAAAUGACACGGUAUUAUGACUUAUCGGGGGACACUUAGUAGCUAUGUAGCAACCGUGAAGGUCUGGCCAGAAAGUAACAAUUAGCUAGAGUGGUGAAACUAAACUGCAACAUUGAGAAGAAAAAAAAAAUCAAGACAUAAACGGGUUUUAUAUGGUUAUUGAAUUAUGAAAGCAGGUUCAAAUUUUAAGGACUGUUUAAUGGCUAGAAAGUCAGACAAGCCUUAAUAACCAGUUAACUUGUACACGUUUGAGGCUUGCCCAUCACUGUUAAAGCAUUCUUGCUUUGCAUUUUUGAAUCCAAUGAUACACUAGAAGCCUAGAAUUGCUAAAGAAUAUGCAUGCCAUGGGAGCUGGGGGACGAUAAUUAUCACAAGCCAAAGUAGUAGAGACAUGAGAUUGUUGAAAUAAUAUAAACUAAACGAUAGCAUACCGCAACAGAAAGCCAAUCCCAAAAGAAAAUUACUUAGCUAAGAUUAAAGUGGAUGUGGCCAAGUUCACAAGAAAACAAACCUUGCUUGGUUAGUUCAUAUGGGAUUGAAGGUGAAAAUUGUUUGAAUAUUGCUAGAAGUCUGUCUCAAUGUUACCUGGAACGUGGAUUGUUGCGGUACGGAAAUGCAGUACGUCAUAUUCUACGGAACGUGGUAUGCUAGGGGUAGGCUUCUUCGGAUCACUUGGUCGGAACGAAAUACGUUUAUUUGGAGCAUGACACAGUAUUUCGGACCAUCUUUAUCACAAAGCCUAAUUAAUCUAUAAAUAGGCUUUGUGAUUACAAAUAUAUUUUGCACCUCAUUCCAAAAAUCAUCACUUCCUAUAUAUCAAGUAAUUAGAGUACCAACUUCUCUUGUAUUUUCGUCACCAAUCUUCAUCAAUUCUUUUCAUGAAUUUAAAAUAACAGUGGUAGCCAAUGUCUCUCUUACGCCAACAAGUCGUUUUAACAUUAUAUUUUGGUAUGCAAAUCUGUUUUAGGCACCCUUCAAAAGUUUCUAAACUUCGAAUUUGAUCUAAAUAUUGUCAGCAAAUAUAGCAAUGGGAAUGAUUUACAAAAAUUUGACAUUUGUUUACCCUUAAAAUAUGUAUCUUUGAAUCAAUCGAAUUUUGUGGCAAAUCUUUGAAUAUUAAUUCAAUGUAAUGAACUACAUAAGGAGACCAAAUCCGGAACGCUACAUUAUCACAUUCCGGAUCGCAAACCACCCACGUUUGGGAUCGUAUGAUCCAAAUCGCAAUUCAUUAGGGGUUGCGCGAAUUGUGGUAAGACAGACUCUGUCUUACAUGGGGCGAAGAAUGUAUUUACUAUUGAAGGCUAAAUCUUGCUUGGUUUUUACUUGUUGGUAUGAAUCCAUGAUGGUUAUGGCGCUGUGGUUUCCCUUCAUGUUUACCCUCAUCUCGUGCAAAAGAAACCGAAAAAAGGGAACACAGAUAAAAAAUAAACAAUUAAUAGACUUAAUAUGAGUUGGUGUAUAUGUCUGGUUAAUGGAUUUGGAUUGAAGCAGGGCCUGAAAGUAGUUGAACAUUUUAGGAGUGUGAAUACCAGCAACAUGGUCAAAUCCUUGUAAAUUUAGGAUGUUUUGUUUUGUAAUUCACUCUGUUUCUCACAACCGAGCCAUUACUAAUUACGAUGUAACCUUGGUUCAGAGAUUUUAACUUCUUUCAGACAAUAAUAUCAACCCAAGAACUAACACAGUUUCUCGGCAAAUCAAAUAUUAAAAAGGUGCAGAUUUCCAAUGGUCAUGGGUCACAUAGUAAAAAGAACUUAUCAGUAUGGAAUAAAACCACAGAUCCCACAGAACAAGGCAAGAAGUACACAAGUUAUAGCUCGAAAACUCCCUUAUCAGUAUGGAAUAAAAGAUAUGGGCAACGCCUUAAUGACUUGAAUGCUAGGAGCAAGUAGCUUCGAAAGCAAUGUAGUAGGUCUAACAACAAGCACGAAGCGUGUCCUAAAAUUAGGUUCACCCAUUCUCAAAGGCAACACUGUUUCCAAUUAGCGCGUCUGUGCGUGUGUUACAUCACAUGAUUGCCAUAAAGCUCCAGCUUCAUCUGCUACACUAAUCUUGGGGGGUUCAGAAUGAAUUGGACCGAUCCUCUGAGCAUCUUGCAUGUUGAAAUCAAAACGAGUGAAAUCAAUGACAUGAUCACCUCCUAGCAGCGUGUUUGUGAAAAGGCCAAAGGAUUGAAAAUCCAGAUCAAAGUAUACAAAUUGACUGCACUAAAUAAUACAGAGAAGAUCAAAUAAAAUCAGCAACUCUUUAAAUAUCCGUCAAUAUGUUAGUUUCUUCCAAUAUCUUAUAAUGGAAUGUGUUUCUGAAAUAUGCUCAUAAUAAGAGCUUAUUUGAAGUUUUUGUAAUAUUUCUGCACUAAUUAGGAAUCACGACAAACAGAACAAAAAUAACACAUAAAAGAUGAAAUUUAACAUAUAAUUCCAACUUGGAGUUUGUAGUAGCUGUUUAAUAAAUAUAAUUUAUGCGACGUUAUUUGAGUUUGA
rnacentral:lncRNA from 1 species